rnacentral:rRNA from 1 species
UGCAAGUCGAGCGGACUCAACAGUUUCCUUCGGGAAACCGUUAGGUUAGCGGCGGACGGGUGAGUAAUACGUAGGUAACCUGCCCUUAAGACUGGGAUAACUCACGGAAACGUGGGCUAAUACCGGAUAGGCGAUUUCCUCGCAUGAGGGAAUCGGGAAAGGCGGAGCAAUCUGCCACUUAUGGAUGGACCUACGGCGCAUUAGCUAGUUGGUGGGGUAACGGCUCACCAAGGCGACGAUGCGUAGCCGACCUGAGAGGGUGAUCGGCCACACUGGGACUGAGACACGGCCCAGACUCCUACGGGAGGCAGCAGUAGGGAAUCUUCCGCAAUGGACGCAAGUCUGACGGAGCAACGCCGCGUGAGUGAUGAAGGUUUUCGGAUCGUAAAGCUCUGUUGCCAGGGAAGAACGCUAUGGAGAGUAACUGUUCCAUAGGUGACGGUACAU